GCAAGUCGAACGGCAGCGCGGGGGCUUCGGUCUCUGGCGGCGAGUGGCGGACGGGUGAGUAAUAUAUGGGAACGCGCCCGGCGGCGGGGGAUAACUCUGGGAAACCAGAGCUAAUACCGCAUGCGUUUCGCCUUUCGGGGCGAAAGAAAGCGGGGGACUUCUUCGGAGGCCUCGCACCGGCGGAGCGGCCCAUAUCCGAUUAGCUUGUUGGCGGGGUAACAGCCCACCAAGGCCGCGAUCGGUAGCUGGUCUGAGAGGACGGACAGCCACACCGGGACUGAGACACGGCCCGGACUCCUACGGGAGGCAGCAGUGGGGAAUAUUGGACAAUGGGGGCAACCCUGAUCCAGCAAUGCCGCGUGUGUGAAGAAGGCCUUCGGGUUGUAAAGCACUUUCGCGGGGGAAGAAAAAGCGAGGGGUAAUAUCUCUCGCGCCUGACGGUACCCCGAGAAGAAGCACCGGCUAACUACGUGCCAGCAGCCGCGGUAAUACGUAGGGUGCGAGCGUUAAUCGGAAUUACUGGGCGUAAAGCGUGCGCAGGCGGCCUGUCAAGUCGGGUGUGAAAUCCCCGGGCUCAACCCGGGAAUUGCGCUUGAAACCGGCGGGCUAGAGUACGGCAGAGGAAGGUGGAAUUCCGUGUGUAGCGGUGAAAUGCGUAGAUAUACGGAAGAACACUCAUGGCGAAGGCAUCCUUCUGGGC
rnacentral:rRNA from 1 species